rnacentral:rRNA from 1 species
GAUGAACGCUGGCGGCGUGCCUAAUACAUGCAAGUCGAGCGAACAGACGAGGAGCUUGCUCCUCUGACGUUAGCGGCGGACGGGUGAGUAACACGUGGAUAACCUACCUAUAAGACUGGGAUAACUUCGGGAAACCGGAGCUAAUACCGGAUAAUAUCUUGAACCGCAUGGUUCAAUAGUGAAAGACGGUUUUGCUGUCACUUAUAGAUGGAUCCGCGCCGCAUUAGCUAGUUGGUAAGGUAACGGCUUACCAAGGCAACGAUGCGUAGCCGACCUGAGAGGGUGAUCGGCCACACUAGAACUGAGACACGGUCCAGACUCCUACGGGAGGCAGCAGUAGGGAAUCUUCCGCAAUGGGCGAAAGCUUGACGGAGCAACGCCGCGUGAGUGAUGAAGGUCUUCGGAUCGUAAAACUCUGUUAUUAGGGAAGAACAAAUGUGUAAGUAACUAUGCACGUCUUGACGGUACCUAAUCAGAAAGCCACGGCUAACUACGUG